CUUGACACUGCUUUGACAUAUUUACGUUCUUCCGCGACUAUUCAGUUGCAAUAACUUGGAGCUCCUCUGCUGACACUCUCCUACCAGCCAGUCCCCAGCCCUACACAGGAUAGGGAAAGAAAACGUUGCCCAAAGAAGUUACCCAGGUGGGUCGAGGUCUGCAGCCCGGCUCUGACCGCACGCUGGUGAUCCGGGGCAAGGCGAGAGCAAGUGGAUGUUCAAAGCCUUUGUAGCUUUAACUCUACAAUUAAAAGAUUGAUUUAAUGCGACCUAAUCAAAGACACCGCAUGGCAGAUAGCACACCCCUGAAGUUACGGUGAGAUUAUGCUACUCGUAAAUCCUAUCAGCCUGGACUUGUUGGAAGAUCUGCUAUCUAGUAGCAAGAUACAAUCGGUAAAUUAUUUCUUUUAAUUAAUUCAUUGAAGUAAAGAGAAAAUAGCCUGGGUCCUAUCUGUCUACAUCUCUUUGGCAGAAAGGCAAAGAGGUACAAGAGUUCAGCGACAGUUUUAAAUGGGGGGAAGGAUUCCCGCGGUGCAGCAGAGGAGCAGAGAUUGCAACAGCAGCAUCCCUCGGAAAUACACACCACCUUCUGCAAAGCAAUAAACACCCAUCGCCUGAAGACCACUAAAACCGGCUGGCUUGGAAAACCUCCAUCACAAGCCGAGGAUGAAGAAAUGCCUCCUACCUCCCCAGGUAUCAGAAGUUCUGCUCGCCUUCAGAGAGGUAUAAGUACUGAGAUUCCCGGGAUGUAAGAAAUACAGUGCUGUGUCAUGCAGCUGACAGGUCUGCUGGUGGAGCUGAUGCUCAUAACCGGGACAGAAAGUCUUCAUUAAACAAAACAGAGUUAAAUAAUCAAGGGAAGUUGGAGCUGUUUGCAAGAUCUGUUGAGUUUUGACAGCUCACCCUGUCAAAAAGUCAUCAUCUGGGACGACAGUGUGCUGCCAGCGGCUGUGAUGGCUAGCAAAAGAAAAUCAACAACUCCCUGUAUGGUGCGAACUUCGGAAGUCAUGGAGCAGGAAGGCACCGAGGGCAUGGAGGUCCCUAAAGAGAAGGGGGGUGGUGGUGCACCGCAACAGGACUCUCAAAAGAAUUGGCCUUCAGAAAGCUUGGUCAAAGACUGUGAAGUGGUUGAGGCAAAACCCCCAGCCGAAAGUCAGUCCAAGAAGCCCCAGGGCGGUUAUGAGUGUAAAUACUGCCCUUACUCAACACAAAACUUAAAUGAAUUUACAGAGCAUGUUGACACUCAGCAUCCAAAUGUCAUUCUGAACCCCCUGUAUGUCUGUGCUGAAUGCAACUUCACAACCAAAAAAUACGAUUCUUUAUCUGACCACAACACAAAAUACCACCCAGGGGAGACUAACUUUAAACUGAAAUUAAUUAAGCGCAAUAAUCAGACUGUUUUAGAGCAGUCUAUUGAGACCACUGCUAACGAUGUCACUGCCACAAGCGGUGGGUUAGAAACUGCAGAGUGCGAUGAUUCACUUCAUGGGGGAAUUAGUGCAAAUAAAACGCCAAUGAUGAAACUGGGAAAGCCUAAAGGAGAAACCAAGAAGGGACCCAAAAAGCCAGAAGAGGGAGUUACGGAAAACCAUGUGGAUGGCACUCUCCCCCGCAUCAUAACUGAAGCCACUGAAGCUAUUGCUUGUAUAAAUGGAGACCUUCUCCAUGAUGUGUUAGCCCAUGUUAUGCCCUCUGUACAGCUGCCACCAAAUAUUAACCUUGUCCCCAAGGUCCCGGUACCUCUGAACAGUACCAAAUACAACUCUGCACUGGACACUAAUGCAACCAUGAUCAACUCCUUUAAUAAAUUUCCUUACCCAACACAAGCAGAAUUGUCAUGGUUGACAGCAGCAUCAAAACAUCCCGAAGAACAAAUCCGAAUCUGGUUUGCUACGCAACGUUUGAAGCAUGGUAUAAGUUGGUCUCCUGAAGAGGUGGAGGAGGCAAGAAAGAAGAUGUUCAAUGGUACUAUCCAGGCAGUUCCCCAAACCAUCACCGUCCUGCCAGCUCCUUUGACAACUGCAAAAAUGCCCCAGCCCAUCAUCCAGACAGCUUUGCCUUGUCAGAUACUGGGCCAGACCGGUCUGGUUUUGACUCCUGUGUCAAAUGGUUCAACUGUUUCCUGUUCACCAAUUACGCUUGCUGUUGCCCCAAACCAGGGGCAAAAGAGGACGAUACAGACGUUAUCAAGUGCCCCAGAGGCCAAGCGUCCUCACGUGGUUCAGGUGCCUGAGAUGCCUGCCAAACUGACUGCUGUACCACUGACACCAGCCAGUGAGCGAAAAAAGACAAAGGAGCAGAUAGCAGAACUGAAGACCAGUUUCAUGGCAAGCCAGUUUCCUGACGAUGCAGAAGUCUACCGGCUGAUAGAGGCAACGGGUCUCUCCAGGAGUGAGAUCAAGAAGUGGUUCAGUGACCAUAGGUACAGAAGUCAAAGGGGUAUUGUGCACAUCCCUGGCGAUGCUUUAGGGAAGGAUCAAAUAGCACCUUCAGGGGGUCGACACAGCCGCUUGUUCCACCCAUACACAGAUUUUGCUCCUCAGAGAUUCAAAGAGAAAACCCAAGAACAGCUUAGGGUCCUUGAGGAGAGCUUCCUAAGAUGCUCUUUUCCUACCCAAGGAGAAUUGGACAGGCUUCGAGUAGAAACUAAGCUGAGUAGGAGGGAAAUAGAUUCAUGGUUCUCUGAGCGGAGAAAGAUACGGGACAGCAUGGAGCAAGCUGUCUUGGACUCAAUGGGAUCAUACAGAAAAAUUAAGGAGCAAGGAACUCCCAAUGGUGGAAUAAGCCAAGCAGAACUGCUGAGUAGCUCUCAGCUCCCUGGUGCUCUAUCUGGAUCCUCCACCACAUUUAAGAAAACUCAAGAGCAGAUUCAUCUACUGAAAAGCACAUUCGCAAGGACCCAGUGGCCAUCGCCGCAGGAGUACGACCAGUUAGCAUCUCAGACUGGGCUGACAAGAACUGAGAUAGUUCGCUGGUUCAAGGAAAACCGGUCUUCACUAAGAACAGGGUCACUUAAAUGGAUAGACCAGUACCAGAAGCAGUACAUUGUUGAUGGUCAUAACGAGCAAAGCCAGAAAAAGGGCUCAAAACUCAUUGAGAGUCCAAAGAAUGGUAAUGAGGUGUCUCGGCAGCAUUACCAGGAGCAUAAAAAACUGAAUGAAGAGAAUGGGGGGAAACCAGUGGUGAGAGCAAAAAGAGACUGUGAGCCACUGAAAGACUCUUUGUUGGGGAAUCAAGUGGAGGGUAUGGACAGGUUGGAGUGCAACAGCCAUGACGGCCAUGGCAGCGAGGAGAACGAAGAGCCAGCGGAGGUCAACUGGGUGGAGGUGACGGUGGGUGAGGAUGAUGCUGCAUCGGACUGUACGGACAGCUGGAGCCAAACGGCACCCGAAGGCCAGGCAGAGCUGGCGGACUUUGACUCUGAAAGUAUAUCUGGAGAAAAUGCCCACGUAUAGACAGGUAAUGCUGAUGGUGCCCUGUUUCUCUGAGCCUGCCUCUGUCUGGGUGUGCUUCCAGCAUCCUGUAGCCCCUCUUCCGUAUAAAUUCCUGGAGCCCAUCCCUGCCGGAUCCCUGUGCCUGCUGGAUGUCUGAACAAAAGGGAGACCCAUCCUGCUUGUAAAUUAAAGCAACUGCAUGGGGUACUCCUCAGCUGCACUGUCCUGACGUUGAAGGGGAAAUGCUAUCUGAAAAUAGAAGAAAACUCUAUUUUCCUGCCUGGGGUGAGGUAGUGUGUUGCGACUCCAAGCCUCAAACCUUGCUUGCGGAGGCACAGCGAGAAAUACUCUCAUGGAGCAUCAUCAUGGGAUGGUUUAUAGUGCCAAAGUCCUACUACUGCAUUAAAAAGCAAAGAAAGAAAGAAAGAGAAAAGGGUCCUUGUACAUAAGUUUCUCCUUUGCUUUUCUCCCACCCACUUUCCUGCCUAGCCUCUUCCUCUACUGGAACAGAUUUGUACAAUGUGGAGAUUUUGUUAACUUUUUAAUAGGUGCAAGUUAUUCUUGCAUAUAAUGCCACUGCAAAAUUUGGGGUUGGGUUGGGGGAGGGAGGUAUCUUUUGGGGGGGAGAGGAGAUUUUUUUUUUUCCUGAUGUGUUUUAAGACAGAUUUGCAAUUUUUUGGAGUCCUGUUGGUGCGGAUCAACAUCUGAGCCCAGAUCCCCAGCCCAGUUUACAUUUCAGCCCACUUAAACGCAUUACAGGGUUGGGGAGGGUCCUUCUGGAGUGGUUGGGAUUUGGUUUUGUUCUUGUUGUUUUGACUUGUUUUGUUUUAUGGCCACCAGCUACUGGUUAAGUAUUUCAAUCUCUUGCUUUUCCAUGCUCCUACAAGGCGAGUCUUCUCUCGCUCCCAUAUUUCACUCUUCACAAGCCAGCCCCAGCUGUGGGUCUCUGAAGAUUUGGCUAGAAUGCCUUUUUUGUUUGGGUUAUUUUUUAGCACUUUUUGUUUAAAAACGCAGCACAACCCCCAGAGGGGAGGAAAUCAAGAUGCUUCAUAAUCUGAACUCUGUUUGUGUUUCUUUGGCUGGUACAAUGAUGGACGCCAUAGCCAGCAGCCUGCCCUCCAGCUUUAGAUGUUGUAGCGCACAAAGACAUUUUUGAUUAACCCUUGCCACUAAAUUUUUAGGUCAAUCCUAGGUUCCUGAGUGCACUUUUCUUACAAAUACUGCUACUUUGGGUUUGUGUGGAGGUGUCUGUCCGUGCACGUGUGAGGAGGAGGAGGAGGGAGAUGGGGAUUGUGGGUGCAUAGGCGAGCGGGUGCAAUUGCUGUCUGGUGCGUUCCUCUGACGAGCUGGGUUCAGAAACCUUGGCCACCUUUCAGUACGCUGCACAAAUAGGAUGCUAGGGAGUUUGAAUAAAUCCAACUUUUCUAACUUGUUGCUCAUUUGUUGUAACUCAAUAAAACAAAGGCUGAACAUUUUGGUAACCUUU